UACGGAGGGUGCAAACGUUGCUCGGAAUUAUUGGGCGUAAAGCGCACGUAGGCGGUUCGUUAUGUCGGAUGUGAAAGCCCUCGGCUUAACCGAGGAAGUGCAUCCGAAACUGGCGAGCUUGAGUACGGAAGAGGGUCUCGGAAUUCCCGGUGUAGAGGUGAAAUUCGUAGAUAUCGGGAGGAACACCAGUGGCGAAGGCGGAGACCUGGGCCGAUACUGACGCUGAGGUGCGAAAGCGUGGGGAGCAAAC
rnacentral:rRNA from 1 species